GACCGCGUGGCCUAAUGUAUAAGGCGUAUCACUUCGGAUCAGAAUAUUGAGGGUUCUAGUCCCUUCAUGGGCA
rfam:Nematostella vectensis strain CH2 x CH6 NEMVEscaffold_44_Cont7093, whole genome shotgun sequence.